rnacentral:rRNA from 1 species
AGAGUUUGAUCAUGGCUCAGAGUGAACGCUGGCGGCGUGCUUAACACAUGCAAGUCGAACGGUAACAGGAAGCAGCUUGCUGCUUUGCUGACGAGUGGCGCACGGGUGAGUAAUAGAUAGAUAAUGUGCCCCUUAGUCUGGGAUAGCCACUGGAAACGGUGAUUAAUACUAGAUACUCCUUCUCAUCACAAGGUGAGUCGGGAAAGUUUUUCGCUAAGGGAUCGGUCUAUCUCCCAUCAGUUAGUUGGUAAGGUAACGGCUUACCAAGGCAAUGACGGGUAGCGGGUUUGAGAGGAUGAUCCGCCACACUGGUACUGAGACUCGGACCAGACUCCUACGGGAGGCAGCAGUGAGGAAUAUUGCACAAUGGGGGAAACCCUGAUGCAGCAACGCCGCGUGGAGGAUGACGCAUUUCGGUGUGUAAACUCCUUUUAUAUGUCAAGAAAAUGACGGUAGCAUAUGAAUAAGCACCGGCUAACUCCGUGCCAGCAGCCGCGGUAAUACGGAGGGUGCAAGCGUUACUCGGAAUCACUGGGCGUAAAGGACGCGUAGGCGGGUUGGUAAGUCAGAUGUGAAAUCCUACAGCUUAACUGUAGAACUGCAUUUGAAACUACUAACCUAGAGUAUGGGAGAGGGAAGUGGA